GUGUCAGCAGCCGCGGUAAUACAGAGGUCCCAAGCGUUGUUCGGAUUCACUGGGCGUAAAGGGUGCGUAGGCGGCAGGGAAAGUUUGAUGUGAAAGCUCCGGGCUUAACCCGGAAAUUGCAUUGAAAACUCCCCUGCUCGAGGAUUGGUAGGGAGACUGGAAUUCUCGGUGUAGCAGUGAAAUGCGUAGAUAUCGAGAGGAACACCAGUGGCGAAGGCGAGUCUCUGGACAAUUCCUGACGCUGAGGCACGAAAGCCAGGGUAGCAAACGGGAUUAGAAACCCGCGUAGUCC
rnacentral:rRNA from 1 species